UAUAAUGAAAUUGAUUAAACUCUAUAUUAGAGGUCUAAGCUUUGUUUUUUUGUCAAUUUAUUAUUGUCUGCAUCCUGGUUCAUCUUCACCUGACCUUUUGAAUUAAUUGAUUAUGUUAAGAUUAAAAUUGGUUCACACUUCUUUGAGCUAUGUCAUUCCACCUAAUAUUCAUAAAUGAUCCUCAGGUGAGCAGCAAAAUACUAAUAUAUUAUGAAUGGUUGUUUGGCCUAUGGAAAUAAAUUAUAAGUUAAGCUUUUGAUGGACCAUGAGCAACAUAACUAGGUUAGACUAUUUAUGAUUUAACUAUUUGUUUUGUGUUUGUGGUUAUAAUUAUUUGUAACAAUUAUUGAGAUUUGAACCCCAUGAGGCUUGCUUAAACCAACUUGGUUUUCUUAAUGCUUGCGAAGUCUAAGGGAAAACUUUCAAGAUUGGUUAGAGAUUCUCUUUUGAUCUUGCCAUUGUAUUUGACACAGAUGACUAAUAUUCGUGUCUUAUAGUUUAUUAGUUUGACUUUUCAAUCACAAGUCUCUGAAUAUUAGUUGGCCUGUUGUCUUAUCAGGAACUUUCUUUCUAAUUUAUUGUUAUCAUGUAAUAGUUUUUAUCCAUUUACAACCUUUUGCAAUUGAAAAAGAUCACAGAGAGAGAGGUAGACAAAGAUGCUUAUGAAAUUUGCUAGAACUGUUGAAAGACAACAACUUGGCCAACCUAAAACACAUUGUCAAUUCUCUCUCUCUCACACUCUCUCUUCGAUAUCAGCUCCAAAUAUAUCUUUAGGCUAUUGAUCUUACCACCAACAUCACAUGGUUCGAGCUCUUUCUUCCUCUUUCCUUUGAUUUUUACUGCAAAUACAGUGUUUUAUCUUUCCACUUGCUGAGGUCAAUCUUUCCACCAUCAGACUGAGUUUUGUAAUAUGAGAAGCAGAAGAAAUAGAUGGUCGAAAGAAACCCUCAAGAUCCAACUCUUUAUUUGUGAUUUAAUGUGUGGAAUUGGGCACCAACCAAAACAAAGGAGCAACCAGAAAAAGUGCCAUUGAAAGUCAUAAUCAUAAUAAAGAUGUAAUUAACCAAUGGAGGUCAGAGUCAAGAUAUUGCUUUUCCUAGUAAAGGUUAUGAAAUAAAAGAUAAUAAAACAGAACCAAGCUCUUACUAGUUUCCACUCUUUCACAUAAAAAAAAAAAAAAAAAACAAACAAACACAGAGAAACAGCUCUUUCUAUUAAAAAAAUAGAAGACAAAAUCUGCUAAACUACAAAUGAUAUAUCUGAGUUUUUUUUUAAAGUUUUAACUCUGUGUUUAAUUAAUAGAACUUUCAAUAUGUUGAGAAUUUAUUAUUUUAUUCUAAAGAUUUAUUGGACAUAAAAGAGAUUUUAACUGUUAAAAAUGUAUUAAGCCUUUUGGUUCAUCAGUUCACCGAUAAUUAAAGAAAUUUGUUAUCUACUUAAUUGUGUCUACUCACAUUAUUCAUAAAAAAAAA